GUGUUUGCUUUGGCAGCACAUACACUAAAAUUGAAUGAUACAGAGAAGAUUAGCAUGGCCCCUGCAUAAGGAUGACAUGCAAAUUGUUCCAUAUAUUUUU
rnacentral:snRNA from 1 species